ensembl:lncRNA
ACUCUUUUUCUCUCAGCAGGAGACAUGGAAGGGAGCCAACACCAUGUGUCCAGCCAGCUGUCCGAGGAUCAUGGGUGGUCCAUGGACUAGACAAACUGUGGGACAUGGGCUUCUUUUUGAUUUCCUGCCUGUAGUGGUGGUGUAUGCGGACACAUACCAACUGCAAUUCGCACCCGGGGGGAAUGAACGGAGUCUACAGUUUGCACAGCUUUUUCAGAUCCUCCAGCACAAAUGUUGUCAGGUGGUGCCCAAUAGGAAAUGUACCUGCUAUAUAACUAGUGAUGAUUUUAAUAAUGUAGUGUCUGUAUCCCCUAAAGCUGGAUUCUCUUCAACUAGGCGGCACGUAGAGGAGCUGCUUCUAUUUGCAUGGCGACAGGGUUCUACUGAAGGUUUGGUUCAGAGUCACUAGCCCUACACUAGGACAGCUAAUGGACAUGUAUGCAAGCCCUGAGAGACCUAUUUUAGCAUCAUGGCUUGGAAGCCUCCCUGAGGACACCAUCCAGGAGAUCCUAGAGGACGCUGCCAAGAUCGACACAAUCCUGCUGGCGCCGUGGCAGAAGAUUAACGCCCUCAACACUUUCCUGAUCCCCCGCAUCGCCUUCGUCUUGAGAGGUUCCGCCAUGGCAAAGGUGCCCCUCAACAAGGCAGACAACACCAUCUGGCAGCUGGUUAAGCAGUGGCUGUUCCUGCCCCAGAGAGCCAGCAAUGAGCUCAUAUACAUUGCCCACAGGCACGGUGGUGCCAACGUCCCCAGCAUGGGUGACCUCUGCGACAUAACAGUCGUCACGCACGCCUUCCGCCUCCUGACGUGCCCGGACGCCAUGGUAAAGAAUGUCGCAGCGGUCACCCUACGCACUGUCAUCGAGAAGCGAAUUGGCAGGCUUCCCUCCAGCCCGGAUGUAGCCACUUUCCUGAGCGGCUCCAUGGACUGCGAAUUCGCCCGGGACGGGGGCGACAUCGCCUCGCUGUGGUCCCGCGCCCGCAACGCCACGCGCUGGCUGGGAAAACGACUGGGCUGCCGCUGGGUAUGGAGCGAGGAACGACAGGAGCUGGGAGUCCUGGUGCCGCGGAUCGAGACGGCGGGCAACACCAUCGUCAGCUCCAGAGCCAGAGGCCUGCUGGAGAAGUUACUGAAGGCUGCUGUCCAUGGCUCUACGUGGACACCUUGAGGAAAAAACCCGACCAGGGCAAGGCCUUUGAGGUCACCAGCAAGUGGGACUCCAGCAACCACUUUCUCCCCGCGGGUAGCUUCACCCUUUUCGCUGACUGGCGGUUCAUACACCGCGCCCGACUGAACUGCAUCCCGCUCAAUGGAGCCGUCCACCACAGGAACCGGGACAAGCGCUGCAGGAAGUGCGGGUAUGCCCUGGAGACCUUGUCCCACGUCCUGUGCAGCUGCAAGCCCCACGCCAGAGCCUGGCAGCUGCGCCAUAACGCCGUCCAUGACCGGCUGGCGAAGGCCAUUGCCCCACACCUGGGUGAGAUCGCAGUCAACCGCACCAUCCCUGACACCAACAGCCUGCUGCGCCCGGACAUCGUCGUCACGGACGAGGAGCAGAAAAAGAUCAUCCUCAUCGACGUGACGAUCCCGUUCGAGAACAGGACCCCGGCCUUCCGCAAAGCCCGAGCCUGUAAACUCUAAAAAUAUGCCCCCUUGGCUGACACCCUGCGGGCAAAGGGCUACGAGGUUUACACCGACACCCUGAUCGUCGGGGCGCUGGGUGCCUGGGACCCCUGUAAUGAACAUGUACUUAGGGCCUGUGGGGUGGGCCGUCGCUAUGCACGGCUCAUGAGAUGUUUGAUGGUCUCGGACACUAUCCGGUGGUCUAGGGACAUUUACACAGAGCACAUCACCGGCCACCGCCAAUACCAGCAGUGAGCCGGCGUGGCUUCAUGCACCCACGAGGGGGAGGAGGCCUAUAAACCCCCCCUACUGAACCAUAUCCCCUGUGCCCUAAACCCACCGAACUGGAUUCCACCAUGCGAGGGUCAUCCUGUCCCCAUUACCCAGCCCGCUUACUUAUAUCCAUGAGUGCGUGUAACCCACUGUAUGAGUGAUGUACCCUCAUUGCUUCCUUAGUGCUUCUUGAUCCCACCCACUGUACACCCCGCAUUGGGGACCUUACAGACUGUAUAUAUUAUGUGCUAACCAAUUUCCAAAUACCAGCACCCCCUGUACUCUGUAUGUUACCCCCAAUGACCAAUAACUAAUGCUUCAAACUCUUAGUAUCAUCUUUAUUUAAAUAUUCUCUAAUAAACUUUUAAAUCUGCCCUGGCCA